rnacentral:rRNA from 1 species
GACGAACGCUGGCGGCGUGCUUAACACAUGCAAGUCGAACGGAAAGGCCCUGCUUUUGUGGGGUGCUCGAGUGGCGAACGGGUGAGUAACACGUGAGUAACCUGCCCUUGACUUUGGGAUAACUUCAGGAAACUGGGGCUAAUACCGGAUAGGAGCUCCUGCUGCAUGGUGGGGGUUGGAAAGUUUCGGCGGUUGGGGAUGGACUCGCGGCUUAUCAGCUUGUUGGUGGGGUAGUGGCUUACCAAGGCUUUGACGGGUAGCCGGCCUGAGAGGGUGACCGGCCACAUUGGGACUGAGAUAAAGCCCAGAAUGCUACGGGAGGCAGCAGUGGGGAAUAUUGGACGAUGGGCGGAGGCAUGAUGAAGGAACGCAGCGUGCGGGAUGAAGGCAUUCGGGUUGUAAACAGCUCUCGCCUGUGACGAAGCGUGAGUGACGGUGAUGGGUAAAGAAGCACCGGCUCACUACGUG